UGGUGUGGGGUUUCAUCUUCAUGGAAACUGGAGCUGGGGGGAGCCACGAAGUAGUAAACAGGAAACUCCAGGCUGGACGAUGCAGGAGCAGCCUGAACGGGCCUGUCCAAGCUGGAGGGUGCAGCCGAGUCUCCAGCAGAAACAAUGGGGCUGUAGGGGUCAAGGUUCACACCCACGCUGGAGGUCAGAGAGGGCUGUGCAAAGCUGGGGAUGUUGAAUCUGAG